UGCCACAGGCCCUGUUGAACACUCUGAACACUCUGCCCCAGCCUUUCUUGUGGGACCCUUGCAGUCCUGCAUCAGGAACUGAGCGAUGGAAGCUUUAGGCCCAGGUUGAAAUGAAGCUUGGCACAAUAUCCAUUUUCUUCUCCAUUUGUGAAACACGGAACAAAGUCUGGGCAAGCUGAUGUUGCAGAGGAAAAUCUGCAAAUGUACUGGUUAUCCUGAGCCUGGAGGAUGAAGUUAAAGCCAGCCAAAAGCAAUUUCUGGAAAGUCAA